rnacentral:rRNA from 2 species
GAUGAACGCUGGCGGCGUGCUUAACACAUGCAAGUCGAACGGACUUGAGGAGAAGCUUGCUUUUCCAAAAGUUAGUGGCGAACGGGUGAGUAACACGUGGGUAACCUGCCCUACACACAGGAAUAACAAUGAGAAAUCAUUGCUAAUACCGGAUAAGCUUAUAGCAUCGCAUGAUGUAGUAAGAAAAGAUUUAUCGGUGUAGGAUGGGCCCGNGUCUGAUUAGCUAGUUGGUGAGAUAAAAGCUCACCAAGGCGACGAUCAGUAGCCGACUUGAGAGAGUGAUCGGCCACAUUGGGGACUGAGACACGGGCCCAAACUCCUACGGGGAGGGCAGCAGUGGGGGAAUAUUGGCACAAUGGGGGGAAACCCUGAUGCAGCAACG